CAGGCACGGUGACAAAGCUCGGUGGCCGGCAUGGUUGCGGGAGCAGGAAGCUGAGAGCCCACAUCCUAACCAUGAGCGCGAAGCAGAGGGUGUGAACUGGAAGUGUUUUGCACAGAUAGGCCCUGGAGGUCAGCAGAGAUGCCGGUCAGAUCACCUUAUAUCUUUGAACCUCAACAUCUUCAUUUGUCCUGACUUGAGAUGCUCCAGCCGUCUUCAGUCUCCGUUGCUGCCCCGUCUGUUCUUGGGCUUCCCCAUCCAUCCAUCCAUCCAUCCAUCCAUCCAUCCAUCCAUCCAUCAGGAAUACUCUCCCUCUUCUCUACAUCUCCUCCUACUGACGGAGUGGGAGACACCAUCCGAGGCUGCAUUGUAAACUGUAAAGUGCUGUGCAGCCGAGGUCUGCUAUUAGCUUCAUUGUUGGGUAUGAACUUGGCCCUGGCUGUAGG
rnacentral:lncRNA from 1 species